rnacentral:rRNA from 1 species
GAUGAACGCUGGCGGCGUGCCUAAUACAUGCAAGUCGAGCGAACAGACGAGGAGCUUGCUCCUCUGACGUUAGCGGCGGACGGGUGAGUAACACGUGGAUAACCUACCUAUAAGACUGGGAUAACUUCGGGAAACCGGAGCUAAUACCGGAUAAUAUAUUGAACCGCAUGGUUCAAUAGUGAAAGACGGUUUUGCUGUCACUUAUAGAUGGAUCCGCGCCGCAUUAGCUAGUUGGUAAGGUAACGGCUUACCAAGGCAACGAUGCGUAGCCGACCUGAGAGGGUGAGCGGCCACAGUGAAACUGAGACACGGUCCAGCCUCCAGGGGGAGGAAGCAGGGGGGAUUCUCGCAAAAUGGGCGAAGGCCUGAGGGAGAAGCCCCGCGGGAUUAAAGAGGGUUUUGGAAACGAAAAACUGUUUUAUUAGGGAAAAAAAAAUGUAAAAAUAACUAUGCGCGUCUGGACGGUCCUUAAUAAAAAGGCCACGAAAAACACCGUG